UGCAAGUCGAGGGGUAUAGUAGCAAUACUAGAGACCGGCGCACGGGUGCGUAACGCGUAUGCAAUCUACCUUUUACAGAGGGAUAGCCCAGAGAAAUUUGGAUUAAUACCUCAUAGUAUAGCGACCCGGCAUCAGGAUGUUAUUAAAGUCACAACGGUAAAAGAUGAGCAUGCGUCCCAUUAGCUAGUUGGUAAGGUAACGGCUUACCAAGGCGACGAUGGGUAGGGGUCCUGAGAGGGAGAUCCCCCACACUGGUACUGAGACACGGACCAGACUCCUACGGGAGGCAGCAGUGAGGAAUAUUGGACAAUGGGCGCAAGCCUGAUCCAGCCAUGCCGCGUGCAGGAUGACGGUCCUAUGGAUUGUAAACUGCAUUUGUACAGGAAGAAACCCUUUCACGUGUGAGAGAUUGACGGUACUGUAAGAAUAAGGAUCGGCUAACUCCGUGCCAGCAGCCGCGGUAAUACGGAGGAUCCAAGCGUUAUCCGGAAUCAUUGGGUUUAAAGGGUCCGUAGGCGGCCAGAUAAGUCAGUGGUGAAAGCCCAUCGCUCAACGGUGGAACGGCCAUUGAUACUGUCUGGCUUGAAUUACAAGGAAGUAACUAGAAUAUGUAGUGUAGCGGUGAAAUGCUUAGAGAUUACAUGGAAUACCAAUUGCGAAGGCAGGUUACUACUUGUGGAUUGACGCUGAUGGACGAAAGCGUGGGUAGCGAACAGGAUUAGAUACCCUGGUAGUCCACGCCGUAAACGAUGGAUACUAGCUGUUGGGAGCAAUCUCAGUGGCUAAGCGAAAGUGAUAAGUAUCCCACCUGGGGAGUACGGGCGCAAGCCUGAAACUCAAAGGAAUUGACGGGGGCCCGCACAAGCGGUGGAGCAUGUGGUUUAAUUCGAUGAUACGCGAGGAACCUUACCAAGGCUUAAAUGUAGAUUGACCGUUUUGGAAACAGAACUUUC
rnacentral:rRNA from 1 species